rnacentral:lncRNA from 1 species
AGGCAGGACGUGGGCAGACAAUCGUUAACAGUAUACAACAACUUUCAAACUCCCUUCUGCAAUGGACUACCAAAAAUCAGAAAGCCACUAUAAACCCAAUGAAGUCUUCAUCUGGUGCUCUGAACAGGGAAAGUUUAGAGUGAGGGUUGACAUUUCACAUUUAGCAUGUUGUUUAACAACUUUUCACAAGCCGACCCUGACUUUCAGUAAGUGAAAAUGGCAGAAUUUAUCUGAAGAUCCACAAUCUAGAAAUGGAACCACUGCUCUUUUGACAGGUGCCAUCUCAGUGGCAUCACUGGAAAGUCCAGAUUGCCUGACACACUGGUAACCAACGACUAGGGGUCAGGUCCCAACAGAUGUCUGGGCUUAAGGGAGUUAAGUCUAUGCUGAAAGAUGGAAAGGGAGAAGAAGAAAUAAAAACAAAUUUGUUUUUCCAUACCACAAGGCUUUUGUGCCAAGGUGGCCAUGUGUGUCAAAGUCAGGGAAUCCCUCCUCCUGGGAGCCAAGAGGAAGUCUCUCAAAACUAGAAGGGAAAGGUGUUUUCUCCACAUCGAUCCAGCUUUGGAGACAUUCUAUUAGUGACAUAUGCCCCUUCC